GUCAAUUUGUUAGUUAUACAUUGUAUUAUGUUGGAAAAUUCUCUAGAUUGAUGACUGUGUGGAAACAAAUCUGCUCGACACUUUCCUGGAAACAUUGGUUGGUAGAGAUGAUGCUGCAUCAACGACAAAAGCACUUGCACUGCUGGAAGCAAAUAGUGGAAUAGAAGUUUGCCAAAGAUUGUUAAAAAACUGGAAACAAUUGAGGCCAUUGACACAAAAGUUUAUUGCUCUAGUUGCUGAGGUCAAGCAAACUAAUGAACAUUUUUUCAUUGAACAAACUCAAUAAAGCUGAAAAGGAUGCAAGUAUAGAUUUAUAGAGACAAGCCUUUCGUCUCCUUGUCAUGCUAGAAAUAAAGUUUUCAAAAGAAUGGUGUUUUCUUACUUUAGAUGAAGGUAUUGGAUGAAGAAAACGAGGCUUUGGAGGAAUCAAGUGACACAUCGAUAAGGCUCUACAAGAAAACGAAGCACACACAUGUUUCUUGUGGAAAAGCUUCAUCUACCAAGGCCAUGAGGAUUGACUUUCAAGACGAAAUACUUAUGGACAUUCUCAGUAGGUAGGUUACCCCUGUUGCCUCUUCUCCGAUUCAAAUGUGUUUCAAAAAAUUGGAAGACAUUAAUCUCCGAUUCUUACUUUAACAUGAAGCAUCAAAGACAUCACAAGAAUGACUUAAAUUCCCAAAAACUUCUUGUUGCAGUAGAUAAGGUUACCUUCUUUUCUUCUUCUUCCUAAUCGACUGUUCAACUUGUUGAGGAUAUACAAAACCUCGAUUGCCCUACAAACAGGAUACCAGAUCACUAUUGCCACAUUUACGGGUCUUGUAAUGGGUUGGUUCUUGUUGGCAUUUUUGAUCGAUAUGAUAAACAACUUCUGUUGUGGAACCCUUCCAUGAGAGAAUCAACAGUACUUCCUCGUCCAGAAUUUGUAACAAGGUACUCUACUUUUGGAUUAGGAUAUGAUGCAACUAGUGACGACUAUAAGGUCCUUAAGCUAGACCAAGGUUAUUCAGGUGAUAUCCAUCUCCAACCAUCCUAUGAAAUUCUCGCGUUAAAAAGUGGUUCCUGGAGAAAAAUCCGUAACUAUCCAAGUAGAAUU